rnacentral:rRNA from 1 species
AGAGUUUUAUCCUGGCUCAGAGCGAACGCUAGCGGCAUGCUUAACACAUGCAAGUCGAACGAAGAGAAAAGUAAUUUGCUCUUAGUGGCAAACGGGUGAGGAAAGCACAGGUAUUUGCCCUUUAGUGGGGUGCAACCAUUAGAAAUGAUGGCUAAUACCGCAUAGCUCCAGGGAUGGUAAAGGCCUCAAAUUCGAAAGAACUGAGGUCGCUAUAGGAGAAGCCUGUGUCCUAUUAGCUAGUUGGUGGGGUAAUUGCCUACCAAGGCCAAGAUGGGUAGCUGGUCUUAGCGGACGAACAGCCACACUGGGACUGAGAUACGGCCCAGACUUCUACGGAAGGCAGCAGUGGGGUAUAUUGGACAAUGGGGGAAAGACCUGAUCCAGCAAUGCCGCGUGAGUGAUGAAUGCCUUAUUGGGUUGUAAAACUCUUUUAGUCAAGCAAUUAUGAUGUUUGGCUAUAUAUAGCACCGACUAACUACGUGCCAGCAGUCGCGGUAAUACGUAGGGUGCGAGUGUUGCUCGGAAUUACUGGGCGUAAAGAACAUGAAGGCGGAUCUGCAAGCUAGAUGUGUAAUCCCUGAGCUUAACUCAGGAACUGCAUCUAGAACUGCAAAUCUUGAGUAUGGUAGAGGAAAUGGGGAAUUCUUAGUGGAGGGGUUAAAUCUUUAGAUAUUAAGAGGAACACCGAAAGCGAAGGCAACUUUCUGGGCCAUUACUGACGCUAAAGUGUGAAAGCGUGGGGAGCGAAUGGGAUUAGAUACCCCGGACUAGUCCACGCUGUAAACGAUGAGCGCUAGGUGUUGGGAUCGCAAGAUUUCAGUGCCGUAGCUAACGCGUUAAGCGCUCCGCCUGAGGUGUACGGUCGCAAGGCUGAAACUUAAAGGAAUUGACG